GACGAACGCUGGCGGCGUGCUUAACACAUGCAAGUCGAACGGAAAGUCCCGGCUUUUGUGGGGUGCUCGAGGGGCGAACGGGUGAGUAACACGUGAGUAACCUGCCCCUGACUUUGGGAUAACCUCAGGAAACUGGGGCUCAUACCGGAUAGGAGCUCCUGCUGCUUGGUGGGGGUUGGAAAGUUUCGGCGGUUGGGGAUGGACUGGCGGCUUAUCAGCUUGUUGGUUGGGUAGUGGAUGACCAAGGCUUUGACGCGUGGCCGGGCUGAGAGGGUGAGCGGACACACUGCGCCUGAGAUACGGCACAGACUAGUAUGGGAGGCAGCAGUGCGGUAGAGAGCAUUAUGGGCGGAAGCCUGAUGCAGCAACGCCGCGUGGGGGAUGACGGCAAUCGCGUUGGAAAGCGCUUUCGCUUGUGACGAAGCGUGAGUGACGGUAAUGGGUAAAGAAGCACCGGCUAACUACGUG
rnacentral:rRNA from 1 species